UCUGUGUACGAGUGAUCUCAUUGCUGCCUGCGUGCCUGAAAAAUGGCCACAUCCCACUUAUAGGUUAGUAUUAUUCAGUAUCCUCACAUACAUAAGCUGACACCUUGUUAAAGAAGCAUAGGUUUGGCUCAGUCACACUGCCUCACUUGAUUUCACCUUUUUGGUAUUAAAUAGAAAAUCCAAGCUCCAGAGCUAUGCCCCCGAGUUUGUUAGUUGAGAAAAUUCCUUAUUUGACACUGUCUUAAAAUCUGGUUCCUUAUUUGACACUGGAAAAGUUUUUCUUCCCUAUUUGACACUAGUCCUAAAUUUUAUUCCCUAUACGACACUUCCGUUCAUUUUGAGUCUAAAUGACACCUGAAAAGACAAUUUUGCCCCUCAUGUGGUAUGUGUGCGCCCGUGCGUGUGCUGUUGCGUGUGUGGGUGCACGCGCACAUGUGUGCUGCUGCUGCAUGUUUGUGUGCAUGUGUGCUGCUGCGUGUGUGUUUGCUACUGCGUGUGUACGUGCGCGUGUGUGUGUUGUUGCGUGCCUAUGUGUUGCCUGCGUGUGUGCUGCUGCGUGUGUGUGUGUGUGGGUGUGUUGCUGCGUGUGUGUGUGUGCGUGUGUGUGUGUGUGCACGCGCGCGUGCGUGUGUGUUGGUGCAUGUGUAUGUGUUGAUGCGUGUGUGCUUCUGCUUUCGCACUGAUGCUGCGUGUGUGCGCUAUUGCCCCCCACACACAUACCACAUGAGGGGCAAAAGAGUCUUUUCAGGUGUCAUUUAGGCUUAAAAUGGACGAAAAUGUCAUAUAGGGAAUAAAAUUUAGAACUUGUGUCAAAUAAAGAAGAAAAACUUUUUCAGUGUCAAAUAAGGAAGCAGAUUUUAAGAUAGUGUCAAAUAAGGAAUUUUCUCUUGUUAGUUAUAAGGGAAUUUGUAUGGAGUUACGCAGAAGCGCAUUGGUCCGUAGCUAAAUGAUUAUCUAAUUCUAUUAAUUCAUAGUUAACUGAUUAUAUACCCUUCCAUUGCAGGUCCAGAUUGCAACACUUUUAUGUCCACACAUAUCAGUCUAGGCUCUACAGAUUCAGGAGGUGCUCUCGUGUCACUUUUGCGGUUUAUGCCCCCAUUAGCUUGUAUCUCUGUCAAAUAAUCCUCAUCUAUGGUAAUCAUUGACUUCAUUUGGAUUAUUAAGAGGUCUUACCAUUUCAUGUUUUUUUUGCUUGGUAAGGUUUGCCAUCGAGUGAUGAAACACGAUCUAUGUAGUAAAUAUAGAGGUACCUUGUUUUUUAUAGAGAAUAUGCACGAAGCUCCCAUCGUAAUACUGAAGUUUAUAAUUCAAGUUUGAUAUCUCAAAAAAAUACUAUUCCUAGACCUACCCCUGAAGGCAAUGGUUUGUUAAUGG
rnacentral:lncRNA from 1 species